UGAGCUUUCACCAGUGUAAAUAGAGGGGAAUGAUCAUAUCCCUCAAUCUGCUGUCAAUGCCCCUACUUAUACAGCCCAAAAUAUCAUUAGCCUUCUUGGCAACAAGAGCACACUGUUGACUCACAUACCCAG